CUGUGAUGUAGUUUACAGUUCUUUGAUUUUUUUCCCCUUCUUUUAAGACCUUCCUUUCCACUUAUCCACCUUACAUAAGUAAUCUGCUGCAAAAGAGUCGAGGCUAGCAGAAACUGGAAAAAGGAUAUGUGUUUGGAGACAACACUAGCUCAGCUUGGAAGCUAGGAAUGCAACUGUAUCUUUUCUCUGUCUGCUUUAGGAGAAGUAUGUCUGGACAGCAGUGACGACACUAACUCUGACUGGAGAUCUCCCUGGUAACACUGGCCCAAGCCUGAGAGACAUGCUGCAACAUGCUGAAUGAUGACUUAAGAUGUAUAGGUGUUGCGAUGGCUUCCUCCUGCUUUGGGCACCCUCGGUCUUUCUGUGAUGCACGGGGGAAGUUUCUUACCUCAGAGCUGAGGACUUGAGAGACUCAUCCAAGCAAGAAGCUGCCUCAGUUUUGUGAUGAGCGAAGUACCCAAGGAGAGAAGCACUGACACAAGGAGAUCAGCACCCUGCGUAUGGGAUUCCCACAGCAGAGCUUGCUUGAGAAGGGAUUUGUAGCUGUUUGCAAGGACAGGCCCAAGGGAGGUGCUGUUUGUUCCAGUGGAAACCAUACAGAAGAGUGGGUUCUUUCAUCCUGCAACACUGUGUGACUCUGCCUCUUCUGACUGCACUUACUCCGCGCAGUGGACUCACCUCCAUCGUCUCCUGGCCUCUCCUUUUCCUCCAGCUUGCCCAAUUUCAAGCCUGAAAUCUGUGCUUGCAGUCUGCAGCCUCUUGUGGCACUGGAGGGCUGAGUGCUUUAGGUAGACAGCACUCAGCCAUGCAAAGCAGCGCUCCCAACGAGGGCAUUGGAGGAGACUCAGCCCAGCAAAGCUGCUGGUGGAGCAGAACUCACUGCCACUGUUUUCCAUAUGUUCCUCCCUAUGGGGGCCUGACUGGACCUCGACCUGAGGAGGGAACAGAAUGGAAAUUUAAUAGAAAGGCGAGUCCCACCCCCAGGGAAGACACAGUACAUCUUCGCUCGCCAUCAUUUUUGGCUGUUGAGGAGAAAGGAUUGAAGGAUGCUUCACAAUCAGCAACUGCACAGAUUCCGUGAGCUACACUUUGGUCCUAUCAAGACAGGCAGGCAGCUGCAUGAGAGGUGGAAAGAGAGAGAAAAUGACUGAGAUGAAAUCACCAACAACAGCUAUUGCAGGAAGAAAGGCACUGUUGGAUCUCAGCCACAGUACUUCUGCAACCUGGUUUGAAUGGGCCUGAUGGGAUGCCAUAAUGGAACCUACACCGAACAAGGUGCGUCUAUCUCAUCUCCUCAGGCAUUCUUGUCAUGGCCACUUGAGAGCCUGGUGAGGAAGAGCAGUGACUGGAAGAGACCAGGUGAAAAACAGACGGAUGGCUUGGAGAUUUAGCCCUCUGCUGGUUCUGUACUUCUGCAACAGAAGAACUUCUGCAACAGCUGAACUUCCAGUAGAU
rnacentral:lncRNA from 1 species